rnacentral:rRNA from 1 species
GACGAACGCUGGCGGCGUGCCUAAUACAUGCAAGUAGAACGCAGUUGCGAACGGGUGAGUAACGCGUAGGUAACUGCCUCAUAGCGGGGGAUAACUAUUGGAAACGAUAGCUAAUACCGCAUACUGUGAGAUGGACCUGCGUUGUAUUAGCUAGUUGGUGAGGUAAAGGCUCACCAAGGCGACGAUACAUAGCCGACCUGAGAGGGUGAUCGGCAACACUGGGACUUGGACACGGCCCAGACUCCUACGGGAGGCAGCAGUGGGGAAUCCUCGGAAAUGGACGGGAGUCUGAGCCAGCAGCGUCGGAUGUGUGUAAGAGGUUGUCGGUUCGUAAAUGGCUGUUGUUAGGGAGUCGGUAAUUAACCAGAGAGCGACGGUUAACGUCGUGCCAGCAGCCGCGGUAAUAC